GGGUUGUGAGGUUAAGCGACUAAGCGUACACGGUGGAUGCCCUGGCAGUCAGAGGCGAUGAAGGACGUGCUAAUCUGCGAAAAGCGUCGGUAAGGUGAUAUGAACCGUUACAGCCGGCGAUGUCCGAAUGGGGAAACCCAGUGCAAUUCGUUGCACUAUCGUUAACUGAAUACAUAGGUUAACGAGGCGAACCGGGGGAACUGAAACAUCUAAGUACCCCGAGGAAAAGAAAUCAACCGAGAUUCCCCCAGUAGCGGCGAGCGAACGGGGAGCAGCCCAGAGUCUGAAUCAGCUUGUGUGUUAGUGGAACGGUCUGGAAAGUCCGACGGUACAGGGUGAUAGUCCCGUACACCAAAAUGCACAGGCUGUGAACUCGAAGAGUAGGGCGGGACACGUGGUAUCCUGUCUGAAUAUGGGGGGACCAUCCUCCAAGGCUAAAUACUCCUGACUGACCGAUAGUGAACCAGUACCGUGAGGGAAAGGCGAAAAGAACCCCGGCGAGGGGAGUGAAAAAGAACCUGAAACCGUGUACGUACAAGCAGUGGGAGCCUCUUUAUGGGGUGACUGCGUACCUUUUGUAUAAUGGGUCAGCGACUUAUAUUCUGUAGCAAGGUUAACCGUAUAGGGGAGCCGCAGGGAAACCGAGUCUUAACUGGGCGUUAAGUUGCAGGGUAUAGACCCGAAACCCGGUGAUCUAGCCAUGGGCAGGUUGAAGGUUGGGUAACACUAACUGGAGGACCGAACCGACUAAUGUUGAAAAAUUAGCGGAUGACUUGUGGCUGGGGGUGAAAGGCCAAUCAAACCGGGAGAUAGCUGGUUCUCCCCGAAAGCUAUUUAGGUAGCGCCUCGUGAACUCAUCUUCGGGGGUAGAGCACUGUUUCGGCUAGGGGGUCAUCCCGACUUACCAACCCGAUGCAAACUACGAAUACCGAAGAAUGUUAUCACGGGAGACACACGGCGGGUGCUAACGUCCGUCGUGAAGAGGGAAACAACCCAGACCGCCAGCUAAGGUCCCAAAGUCAUGGUUAAGUGGGAAACGAUGUGGGAAGGCCCAGACAGCCAGGAUGUUGGCUUAGAAGCAGCCAUCAUUUAAAGAAAGCGUAAUAGCUCACUGGUCGAGUCGGCCUGCGCGGAAGAUGUAACGGGGCUAAACCAUGCACCGAAGCUGCGGCAGCGACACUAUGUGUUGUUGGGUAGGGGAGCGUUCUGUAAGCCUGUGAAGGUGGCCUGUGAGGGCUGCUGGAGGUAUCAGAAGUGCGAAUGCUGACAUAAGUAACGAUAAAGCGGGUGAAAAGCCCGCUCGCCGGAAGACCAAGGGUUCCUGUCCAACGUUAAUCGGGGCAGGGUGAGUCGACCCCUAAGGCGAGGCCGAAAGGCGUAGUCGAUGGGAAACAGGUUAAUAUUCCUGUACUUGGUGUUACUGCGAAGGGGGGACGGAGAAGGCUAUGUCAUCCGGGCGACGGUUGUCCCGGUUUAAGCAUGUAGGCUGGUUAUCCAGGCAAAUCCGGAUAAUCAAGGCUGAGGUGUGAUGACGAGGUACCACGGUACUGAAGUGACAGAUGCCCUGCUUCCAGGAAAAGCCUCUAAGCAUCAGGUAACAUCAAAUCGUACCCCAAACCGACACAGGUGGUCAGGUAGAGAAUACCAAGGCGCUUGAGAGAACUCGGGUGAAGGAACUAGGCAAAAUGGUGCCGUAACUUCGGGAGAAGGCACGCUGGUGUGUAGGUGAAGUCCCUGCGGACGGAGCUGAGACCAGUCGAAGAUACCAGCUGGCUGCAACUGUUUAUUAAAAACACAGCACUGUGCAAACACGAAAGUGGACGUAUACGGUGUGACGCCUGCCCGGUGCCGGAAGGUUAAUUGAUGGGGUUAUCCGUAAGGAGAAGCUCUUGAUCGAAGCCCCGGUAAACGGCGGCCGUAACUAUAACGGUCCUAAGGUAGCGAAAUUCCUUGUCGGGUAAGUUCCGACCUGCACGAAUGGCGUAAUGAUGGCCAGGCUGUCUCCACCCGAGACUCAGUGAAAUUGAACUCGCUGUGAAGAUGCAGUGUACCCGCGGCAAGACGGAAAGACCCCGUGAACCUUUACUAUAGCUUGACACUGAACAUUGAGCCUUGAUGUGUAGGAUAGGUGGGAGGCUUUGAAGCGUGGACGCCAGUCUGCGUGGAGCCAACCUUGAAAUACCACCCUUUAAUGUUUGAUGUUCUAACGUUGGCCCCUUAUCGGGGUUGCGGACAGUGUCUGGUGGGUAGUUUGACUGGGGCGGUCUCCUCCCAAAGCGUAACGGAGGAGCACGAAGGUUAGCUAAUCCUGGUCGGACAUCAGGAGGUUAGUGCAAUGGCAUAAGCUAGCUUGACUGCGAGCGUGACGGCGCGAGCAGGUGCGAAAGCAGGUCAUAGUGAUCCGGUGGUUCUGAAUGGAAGGGCCAUCGCUCAACGGAUAAAAGGUACUCCGGGGAUAACAGGCUGAUACCGCCCAAGAGUUCAUAUCGACGGCGGUGUUUGGCACCUCGAUGUCGGCUCAUCACAUCCUGGGGCUGAAGUAGGUCCCAAGGGUAUGGCUGUUCGCCAUUUAAAGUGGUACGCGAGCUGGGUUUAGAACGUCGUGAGACAGUUCGGUCCCUAUCUGCCGUGGGCGCUGGAGAAUUGAGGGGGGCUGCUCCUAGUACGAGAGGACCGGAGUGGACGCAUCACUGGUGUUCGGGUUGUCAUGCCAAUGGCACUGCCCGGUAGCUAAAUGCGGAAGAGAUAAGUGCUGAAAGCAUCUAAGCACGAAACUUGCCCCGAGAUGAGUUCUCCCUGAGACUAUAAGUCUCCUGAAGGAACGUUGAAGACGACGACGUUGAUAGGCCGGGUGUGUAAGCGCAGCGAUGCGUUGAGCUAACCGGUACUAAUGAACCGUGAGGCUUAACCUUACAACGCCGAAG
rnacentral:rRNA from 1 species